rnacentral:rRNA from 1 species
UCAUUUGUCGGCUGUUCUUCUUAGAGGGAUAAGCGGCUUUUAGCCGCAUGAGAUUGAGCAAUAACAGGUCUGUGAUGCCCUUAGAUGUCCGGGACCGCACGCGCGCUACACUGAUGUUAUCAGCUUGUUUCUCCCCUUGUCCGAGAGGACCGGGUAAUCCGCUGAACCACCUUCGUGAUAGGGAUCGGGGUUUGAAAUUAUCCCCCGUGAACGAGGAAUUCCCAGUAA